GAUGAACGCUGGCGGCGUGCCUAAUACAUGCAAGUCGAGCGAACAGAUGAGGAGCUUGCUCCUCUGACGUUAGCGGCGGACGGGUGAGUAACACGUGGAUAACCUACCUAUAAGACUGGGAUAACUUCGGGAAACCGGAGCUAAUACCGGAUAAUAUAUUGAACCGCAUGGUUCAAUAGUGAAAGACGGUUUUGCUGUCACUUAUAGAUGGAUCCGCGCCGCAUUAGCUAGUUGGUAAGGUAACGGCUUACCAAGGCAACGAUGCGUAGCCGACCUGAGAGGGUGAUCGGCCACACAGGAACUGAGACACGGUCCAGACUCCUACGGGAGGCAGCAGUAGGGAAUCUUCCGCAAAGGGCGAAAGCUUGACGGAGCAACGCCGCGUGAGUGAUGAAGGUCUUCGGAUCGUAAAACUCUGUUAUUAGGGAAGAACAAAUGUGUAAGUAACUAUGCACGUCUUGACGGUACCUAAUCAGAAAGCCACGGCUAACUACGUG
rnacentral:rRNA from 1 species